AACGAGGUGGCCGAGUAGGUAGAAGAUUGUAGCUCUUCCCACGGGUUUAAUUACCCCCUUGUU
rnacentral:tRNA from 1 species